AUGAGGUCCCAGCUGGGAUGGGCAGAAGUUCUGUCACUCUGCCACAGCACAACUGCACACCAUCCUUCAUGCCCCAGGGCUGUGAUAUUUAUUUCCAAUGACAGUUCAGCCUAUACUGCUUAUUUUUGUUUAAUAGUUGCAGUGGAGGGAUCGGCUUUAUAUUCCCGUGAGAAGAUGGAACUUGGAACUUCAUGCAGAAAGAGCAACAUUGAUCUCCUCUAAAAGCAGACACUGCAGACUGCUUCCCAUUGUGCUAAUGCUGGAGAAUCAACCCACAUAAUGCAAGACUGAGAACAACACUAUGGCCAAUAAUGGAAGGGUGAUGAGGAAGGCAGUGCCAUUUCUCUGCUGUACCUGAAGGGCAUAUGUUCACUCUGCUUUCAUCUUUACUAAUGGAAGAGCAAUCAUUUACUAGCUACAGCUUAACUCCAGAGGUGACACUGGCACAAUUUUCUCUCACACAGUGUGAUUCCUACAGGUCUUAGACUCUGAGAGCUCAGCUGUUCCUCUGGGCUCUCAGCAGUUACUGUCUUGCAGGAGCAUACAGGAGCUGCACUUAUAUAAUGUCUCUCAUCCGAGGAUCUCAGGAUUCUACUUGAGCAAUUCUACACCAUUUUACAGAUGAAGAAAAUGGGUCACGGAGUGUCUGAGUGGCAGUUCAAGAUCACACAAAACUCAGAACUCCUUGUCAACCUUAGAUGAAACACAAGAGUUUGCUCAGUAGCUGAAUGAAGCAUGCAGUCAUCCUUACCGCUGAGUGGACAGG
rnacentral:lncRNA from 1 species